rnacentral:misc_RNA from 1 species
UUUGGCAUCAUGAGUAGCGACAAGGACCUCUUUCUUUCCAUCACCGUUGAGAUCGGCAACAAUUGGGGGAGGAAGACGCUCAGCCUCGUAUUUGAUGGGAUACUCUUCGAAAAGAUGAUACCAUGCCUCCUUGAACGAUAAAUCACCUUCGUGCUGUAGAGAGAAGAAAAUAGCGAAGGCAGAUAGCAUCAGAAUAGCUAAAUCGCGUUUCCUCAUCUUCUUGUUCUUGCUGAUUGAUCAGCGACUCACACAGUCGCAAGGAGGAAGAUGUGCUAGCGUUCUUAACUUCAAUGAAGAACUCAGUUGUAACGUUUGACUACGG